rnacentral:rRNA from 1 species
CGUGAGGAACCUGCCUUUCAGAGGGGGACAACAGCUGGAAACGGCUGCUAAUACCGCAUAACACAUAGGUGUCGCAUGGCAUUUAUGUCAAAGAUUUAUCGCUGAAAGAUGGCCUCGCGUCUGAUUAGCUAGUUGGUGAGGUAACGGCUCACCAAGGCGACGAUCAGUAGCCGGACUGAGAGGUUGGCCGGCCACAUUGGGACUGAGAUACGGCCCAGACUCCUACGGAAGGCAGCAG